GCGUUGUUCGGAAUGACUGGGCGUAAAGGGCGCGUAGGCGGCUUUUCAAGUCGGGUGUGAAAGCCCGGGGCUCAACCCCGGAACGGCAUCCGAUACUGGGAGGCUUGAGACCGGGAGAGGAGGGUGGAAUAUCCAGUGUAGAGGUGAAAUUCGUAGAUAUUGGAUGGAACACCAGUGGCGAAAGCGGCUCUCUGGCCCGGAUCUGACGCUGAGGCGCGAAAGCGUGGGGAGCAAACAGG
rnacentral:rRNA from 1 species